CAACACCACGAGGACGACGAAGAGGAGGAGGAGGAGGAGGAGGCCGGGGGUCUGCCACCGCCGGAGCCCCCUCGGUUGCCACCCUUGGAGAUAGGUCUUGGAAUCCAGUGAACUGCAUUGCUGUUGUAUCAGGUUUUACGAUAGAGAUGGUUAAGAACUACUCAGAAUCAGUGAAGUACUAAAGUCUGACAAUCAGAUCUGAAGAUGCUGGAGCUUGAUUAAUUUAGGAUGGAGAAGUGAGCAGAGCCAAAUACCUGAAGAAGAUGAACAGCAUGCUAGCUUCUUUAUUUCCUGGAAGGUGGAACCCAUCUCCGUAUGGGCCUCGGGAAUCCUUGUGGAAUGAAGGAAUGCUAUUACCAAUGCCAGUGGCAUUUUGCGGGGUAGCACUGUUUUGGCCAGUAUAGUUGUUGGCAUGUCAGGUAUGAGAAUGAGAUCAUUAAACUAAUAGGUAAUUAUCUUCAUGA